GACGAACGCUGGCGGCGUGCCUAAUACAUGCAAGUCGAGCGGACGAAUCGAAAGCUUGCUUUUGAUUCGUUAGCGGCGGACGGGUGAGUAACACGUGGGCAACCUGCCCUGUAGACGGGGAUAACACCGAGAAAUCGGUGCUAAUACCGGAUAACACGAAAUGUCGCAUGACGUUUCGUUGAAAGACGGCGCAAGCUGCCGCUACAGGAUGGGCCCGCGGCGCAUUAGCUAGUUGGUGAGGUAACGGCUCACCAAGGCGACGAUACGUAGCCGACCUGAGAGGGUGAUCGGCCACACUGGGACUGAGACACGGCCCAGACUCCUACGGGAGGCAGCAGUAGGGAAUCUUCCGCAAUGGACGAAAGUCUGACAGAGCAACGCCGCGUGAGCGAAGAAGGCCUUCGGGUCGUAAAGCUCUGUUGUUAGGGAAGAACAAGUAACGCAGUAACUGGCGUUACCGUGACGGUACCUAACGAGAAAGCCACGGCUAACUACGUG
rnacentral:rRNA from 1 species